GCGGUGCAUUGUGGGCGGGAGCCGGCCAUCCUCCAUGUUUACGGGAGCCGCCAUUUUGUGUGUGUCGCUGCCGCGUCUCCGUCUCUUCGGAGACAUUGUGCGCUUGAGGCACUGAAAGGAGUCGCUGGACGGUAGCCGGUGGUGAAGGCGGAGCUGUGUGGUCGCGGGGUGAGAGUGGGCCGCGUUGGCGUUCAUGGGCAGGUCUCGGAGCCGCAGCUCGUCGCGCUGCAAGCACGCCAAGGCCAGCAAGCACGGCAAGCGGCGGACGCGCUCACACUCGCGGGAAAAGGAGCGGCCGCGGAAACGCUCCAAGUCGCGGGAGAAGAAGGCCCGGCGACACGCAGCCGCCCGCCAAUCGCGAUCCCGCUCCCGCUGCCGCAACACCCCCGAGCGCAUCGACAUCUUCGGCCGCAACCUCAGCAAGCGCAGCAGCCUGGACGAGAAGCAGAAGCGGGAGGAGGAGGAGAAGAAGGCCGAGCUGGAGAGGCAGCGUAAGAUCCGACAGCAGGAAAUAGAGGAAAAGUUGAUUGAAGAAGAAACGGCAAGAAGAGUGGAAGAGCUUGUGGCCAAACGUGUAGAAGAAGAGUUAGAGAAGCGUAAGGAUGAGAUUGAGCGUGAGGUACUCCGGCGUGUCGAGGAGGCCAAGCGAAUUAUGGAAAAGCAAUUGUUGGAGGAGCUUGAGCGACAGCGACACGCUGAGCUUGCUGCACAGAAAGCUAGAGAGGUAACGCUCGAUCGUUGGAAAAGCAAACGACAGUCCAUGGCAAAACUUUCAGUCACAGUCAAUGGCCACCACUUAAUCGUCAUCAGUAAAUGGAAUCAGAGUGCAACUGUCUACCCCUUUUCCAGCAGUCUGCAGUACCACAACAUUGUUUUUAAGUUUUAUUUCUUUUCCAUUAUAGCUUAAGGUGCCGAAUGUAGUAUUUAAUCAGGCUACACAAAGCAUUGUGCCAUGGCAUUUGCUGUUUAAAUUCAGGAACUAUGGAAGAAAUAAUACUAACGUAACAAUGUACCUGUUCAAAGUCUCUUUUCACACUUAUUUAAUUGAAACUUUUGCCAUGGCUGCAGACUAUUAUCUAACUAUGCUAAAGCUUUUUUUCUUCAAAGGCACUUUCAGGAUAAUGAUUUGCCCUUCAUUUGUGUAAUCACUUUGUAUUCCUUUCUGACCCAGUGACUUAGUCUUUCCAGUGCUGAAAUAAGUCAAAGUGGAUAAGCCUACAGUCAUCUAUGGCAAGUGGUUCAUGUUUGCUGCAUAUCCAUCUUAAAUAAGAUACAGCAGGGGGACUUUUAACAUUAGGUUUAUGGCAUCAGUCUCCGUUGCAUUCAAAGGAUUCUUGUGGGACUGGAACUCUGCAUUUAUAACCCUCCUCCAUAGUGUAGUUCUAAGUGCUUUUUCCUCCCAUGAGAGCUAUUGACAGCUGGUGAGUCCCUCAGUGUGAAGCUAGACAUUCUGUGUUACAUGGUCACAGUAGCAAAAGCAGAAAAAUGUCUUCCUGUGAAAUAGUGAAUUGCUACUUUAUUGACGUUUGCUGACACUCAUUACCUCUCGAUUCUGAAAUGAAAUAGUUUUGCAGUGCAGAGCAGUACAGUGCCGAGUUAACUGUAACUUUAAAGAUCUUGUAGCAACCUUUCGAGUAUGAAAUAAUUUAGCUAUCUUCGUUGUACAUAGUUUCUUUCACGUGAUUUGUUUAAGUAUUGAAUAGAAUUAGAAAAGAGCAAAGUUGCACAAAAUGGUGCUCCAUUCAGUAGAGGCUCGGAAGAAACUACAACUGCUAUGUAAUGUUUAAUAUUUCAUAUAGGUCUGAUCACAUGGCAGUACACCAUUGUUAUGAACAAGGUGGUUCCAGUUUCUUUAUUCAGCAAUUAAAAAAACGUCCUGGCAUGUUUCCUUAUUAUUUGACAAACCCUUUUCAAAUUGGUUUGUUUUAUGUUUACAUUCCAGAUCGGAUUUGUUCCUAGAUAUUAGAGGCAGCAAUAAAAAUGAUUUCAUUCAUUUUGAAUUCUGUUGAAACUUUGAGUAGCUUUCAUUUAAACAUCGCUGACAAGCCUCCCGUUCCCUUCUCUUCCUCACCCUUUGGUUUUACGUCACCAUUCGACACAAACUAGGUAACUAAGCUGAAAGUAGCUAUAGAUUUCCCUAUGGUGAGAUUUUUUCCUGCAGCCUCUUAAAAUAUAUAGUAAGCAAUUUGAUCUUUGUAUUUCUAUUUUGCCACUUUAAAUCCGGGGCUGGGCAUUAUUUAGCCAAGUAUUGUGUCCCACAGCAGAUUUUAUUGUUUUAGUCAAAACAAUUUUACUUAUCUUUGUUCCUUUAUAUUCUUGAAUGAUGAUUAAAGACUGAAGCUACCAAUUUUGCGUGAUACAACUUUUUUGUUUCUUUGGUGUGCUAUCUCAACAAAACAUUAAGCAAUGUUGAAUGAUUCCCAGCCUCCGAAAGUAGGUAGUUAGGUCUUAAAAUUCCAUUAAAACUUCAAAGGGUUAGUUAGUAGUUAGUAGAUUUCCAUGCAUAUAAUAAUGUAUUGGUUAAUUGUUUCAAAAAUAAAUCCUCCAAUAUUUUUGGCUACAGUGCCUGACAAUUUGAUAUUUACAACUUUUUGUGUUUAUGAACUCAGUCUGUAAUUUUUGACUUUAAAUGAAAGAAUAUUAGUGAUUUUUUUUUGUUUUGUUACUACGUUAGUUUGUAUCUUGGACAAAUUUUAAUUUCAGAAUAUCGUCUACCUUAGAGUGAGAAUUGAUUUAUAUCAUCUUUGUAUUUGAUACAGGCACGAGAGACGAGGUUUAUUAGGAAACUUCCAUGGCACUUUCAUGAAUUUAUAAAAUGCCUUCAGAUCAAAAUUUUGUUAUGAACAGUAUUGUAUUAUAAGUUGCAUGAUGGUACUACCUUAUUUUAAUGUGAUUUUAUUUAAUUUUAUAAAAACACUCCAUUUUGAAAUAUUCAGAGUGCAUUAUACCAUAAGAUACAGCCUUUUGUAUUAUUUACUUUCUAACUUGUAUUCAGAUUAUUUGAAUUUCUAGGGUUGAUGAGUAUCGGCUUGUAGCACGUUACUAUUCAUAGUAAGAUUAUUUUUCUUUCUCAUGUCUCUUGAUAGCUUUGCUUAGCUUCAUGUUUACGUUGUCAUCCUACAGACAAAGGGCAAAUUUCCUGGGCCAUUCACAGUAUUGAAAAUGUAAUUUUUCUGUUCUGGAUAAUUAAUUGAAAGCACUAUUUUGUAGUGUUUAAUAAUAUUUUGUAGGGUAAUUGGAAAUUUGAAGUCUGCAUUGAAUUGACCACAAAAUCAAUAUAACUUAACCAGCACUAAUGAGACCAGUAAUAGCAAAUGGAAAGUUAGUAGAUCAUCAGUAGCUCGGUCACCUGUGUAAUUUGAUCUCAGAACAGAAAAAAAAUCAUAAUUUCUUCCAACUGUGAAAGAUGCUCUCAGCUCCACAAAAGGUUGGAUUAAAGCUUGUAUUUUUCACUAACAGUAAAUGUAUCUUUCUUAUUAAUUGUUUGCCUUAGGAAUGGUGAUUUAUAUUGUUUCUUCUUACCGUAAACAUCUGCAUUCCUCAGCUCAGCCUGCGUUGUGUUGUGUUUCUUGUUAUUGGCUGAGCUGCUGAUGCAGGUGUUGCCAAGCUAACAGUACAAAUCAGUUUAAAGAGGAAGCUGGCGCAUAUGGCAGCCGAGGAGCACACUCUGCAGGACACUGGACGAGACAGAGGAAGAACGAGCUAAACGAGAAGAACUUGAGCGAAUAUUGGAGGAAAAUAAUCGAAAAAUAGCAGAAGCUCAGGCUAAGUUGGCUGAGGAGCAAUUGAAAA